AUUGAACGCUGGCGGCAUGCCUUACACAUGCAAGUCGAACGGCAGCGGGGACUUCGGUCCGCCGGCGAGUGGCGAACGGGUGAGUAAUGUAUCGGAACGUACCUUUCAGUGGGGGAUAACGUAGCGAAAGUUACGCUAAUACCGCAUAUUUUCCGAGGAGGAAAGCAGGGGACCUUCGGGCCUUGUGCUGAUGGAGCGUCCGAUAUCAGAUUAGCUAGCUGGUGAGGUAAAGGCUCACCAAGGCGACGAUCUGUGGCGGGUCUGAGAGGAUGAUCCGCCACACUGGGACUGAGACACGGCCCAGACUCCUACGGGAGGCAGCAGUGGGGAAUUUUGGACAAUGGGCGCAAGCCUGAUCCAGCCAUGCCGCGUGAGUGAAGAAGGCCUUCGGGUUGUAAAGCUCUUUCGGACGGGAAGAAAUUGGUGGGGCUAAUAUCCCCAUCGGAUGACGGUACCGUAAUAAGAAGCACCGGCUAACUACGUGCCAGCAGCCGCCGUAAAAC
rnacentral:rRNA from 1 species